rnacentral:rRNA from 1 species
GAUGAACGCUGGCGGUGUGCCUAAUACAUGCAAGUCGAGCGAACAGACGAGGAGCUUACUCCUCUGACGUUAGCGGCGGACGGGUGAGUAACACGUGGAUAACCUACCUAUAAGACUGGGAUAACUUCGGGAAACCGGAGCUAAUACCGGAUAGCAUGUUGAACCGCAUGGUUCAACAGUGAAAGACGGUCUUGCUGUCACUUAUAGAUGGAUCCGCGUCGCAUUAGCUAGUUGGUAAGGUAACGGCUUACCAAGGCAACGAUGCGUAGCCGACCUGAGAGGGUGAUCGGCCACACCGGAACUGAGCCACGGUCCAGACUCCUACGGGAGGCAGCAGUAGGGAAUCUUCCGCAAUGGGCGAAAGCCUGACGGAGCAACGCCGCGUGAGUGAAGAAGGUCUUCGGAUCGUAAAACUCUGUUAUUAGGGAAGAACAAAUGUGUAAGUAACUAUGCACGUCUUGACGGUACCUAAUCAGAAAGCCACGGCUAACUACGUG